rnacentral:rRNA from 1 species
GGGUUGUGAGGUUAAGCGACUAAGCGUACACGGUGGAUGCCUAGGCAAUCAGAGGCGAUGAAGGACGUGCUAAUCUGCGAUAAGCGUCGGUAAGGUGAUAUGAACCGUUAUACCCGACGAUUUCCGAAUGGGGAAACCCAGUGCAAUUCGUUGCACUAUCGUUUGAUGAAUACAUAGUCAAACGAAGCGAACCGGGGGAACUGAAACAUCUCAGUACCCCGAGGAAAAGAAAUCAACCGAGAUUCCCCUAGUAGCGGCGAGCGAACGGGGAGCAGCCCAGAGUCUUAAUCAGCAUUAGUAUCAGGAGAACGGUCUGGAAAGUCCGGCAGUAAAGGGUGAUAGCCCCGUAUCUGAAGAUAUUAGUGUUGUGAACUCGACGAGUAGGGCGGGACACGUGUUAUCCUGUCUGAAUAUGGGGGGACCAUCCUCCAAGGCUAAAUACUCCUGAUUGACCGAUAGUGAACCAGUACCGUGAGGGAAAGGCGAAAAGAACCCCGGCGAGGGGAGUGAAAUAGAACCUGAAACCGUGUACGUACAAGCAGUGGGAGCCUUGAUUUAUCAGGGUGACUGCGUACCUUUUGUAUAAUGGGUCAGCGACUUAUAUUCUGUAGCAAGGUUAACCGUAUAGGGGAGCCGUAGGGAAACCGAGUCUUAACUGGGCGAAUGAGUUGCAGGGUAUAGACCCGAAACCCGGUGAUCUAGCCAUGGGCAGGUUGAAGGUUGGGUAACACUAACUGGAGGACCGAACCGACUAAUGUUGAAAAAUUAGCGGAUGACUUGUGGCUGGGGGUGAAAGGCCAAUCAAACCGGGAGAUAGCUGGUUCUCCCCGAAAGCUAUUUAGGUAGCGCCUCGUGAACUCAUCUUCGGGGGUAGAGCACUGUUUCGACUAGGGGGUCAUCCCGACUUACCAACUCGAUGCAAACUACGAAUACCGAAGAAUGUUAUCACGGGAGACACACGGCGGGUGCUAACGUUCGUCGUGAAGAGGGAAACAACCCAGACCGCCAGCUAAGGUCCCAAAGUCAUAGUUAAGUGGGAAACGAAGUGGGAAGGCUCAGACAGCCAGGAUGUUGGCUUAGAAGCAGCCAUCAUUUAAAGAAAGCGUAAUAGCUCACUGGUCGAGUCGGCCUGCGCGGAAGAUGUAACGGGGCUAAACUAUGCACCGAAGCUGCGGCAGCGAUAUGUAAAUAUUGUUGGGUAGGGGAGCGUUCUGUAAGCCUGUGAAGGUGUACUGUGAGGUAUGCUGGAGGUAUCAGAAGUGCGAAUGCUGACAUAAGUAACGAUAAUGCGGGUGAAAAACCCGCACGCCGGAAGACCAAGGGUUCCUGUCCAACGUUAAUCGGGGCAGGGUGAGUCGACCCCUAAGGCGAGGCAGAAAUGCGUAGUCGAUGGGAAACGGGUUAAUAUUCCCGUACUGGUGAUAAUUGCGAUGGGGGGACGGAGAAGGCUAGGCUGGCCGGGCGACGGUUGUCCCGGUUUAAGGAUGUAGGCAGGUGAAUUAGGCAAAUCCGGUUCACUAUAUGCUGAGGUCUGAUGACGAGUCACUACGGUGGCGAAGUAGCUCAUGCCCCGCUUCCAGGAAAAGCCUCUAAGCUCUAGAUUAUCAUUAAUCGUACCCCAAACCGACACAGGUGGUCAGGUAGAGAAUACUCAGGCGCUUGAGAGAACUCGGGUGAAGGAACUAGGCAAAAUGGUGCCGUAACUUCGGGAGAAGGCACGCUGGCGCUAGGUGAAGUGGUUUACCCAUGGAGCUGAAGCCAGUCGCAGAUACCAGCUGGCUGCAACUGUUUAUUAAAAACACAGCACUGUGCAAACACGAAAGUGGACGUAUACGGUGUGACGCCUGCCCGGUGCUGGAAGGUUAAUUGAUGGGGUUAUCCGUAAGGAGAAGCUCUUGAUCGAAGCCCCAGUAAACGGCGGCCGUAACUAUAACGGUCCUAAGGUAGCGAAAUUCCUUGUCGGGUAAGUUCCGACCUGCACGAAUGGCGUAAUGAUGGCCAGGCUGUCUCCACCCGAGACUCAGUGAAAUUGAACUCGCUGUGAAGAUGCAGUGUACCCGCGGCAAGACGGAAAGACCCCGUGAACCUUUACUAUAGCUUGACACUGAACAUUGAGCCUUGAUGUGUAGGAUAGGUGGGAGGCUUUGAAGUGUGGACGCCAGUCUGCAUGGAGCCAACCUUGAAAUACCACCCUUUAAUGUUUGAUGUUCUAACGUUGCCCCGUUAUCCGGGGUGCGGACAGUGUCUGGUGGGUAGUUUGACUGGGGCGGUCUCCUCCCAAAGAGUAACGGAGGAGCACGAAGGUUGGCUAAGCAUGGUCGGACAUCAUGCGGUUAGUGCAAAGGCAUAAGCCAGCUUGACUGCGAGAGUGACGGCUCGAGCAGGUACGAAAGUAGGUCUUAGUGAUCCGGUGGUUCUGAAUGGAAGGGCCAUCGCUCAACGGAUAAAAGGUACUCCGGGGAUAACAGGCUGAUACCGCCCAAGAGUUCAUAUCGACGGCGGUGUUUGGCACCUCGAUGUCGGCUCAUCACAUCCUGGGGCUGAAGUAGGUCCCAAGGGUACGGCUGUUCGCCGUUUAAAGUGGUACGCGAGCUGGGUUUAGAACGUCGUGAGACAGUUCGGUCCCUAUCUGCCGUGGGCGUUGGAAGAUUGAAAGGGGCUGCUCCUAGUACGAGAGGACCGGAGUGGACGCACCACUGGUGUUCGGGUUGUCAUGCCAAUGGCAUUGCCCGGUAGCUAAGUGCGGAAGAGAUAACCGCUGAAAGCAUCUAAGCGGGAAACUUGCCUUGAGAUGAGUCUUCCCUGACCCUUUAAGGGUCCUAAAGGAACGUUUAAGACUAAGACGUUGAUAGGUUGGGUGUGUAAGCAUAGCGAUAUGUUGAGCUAACCAAUACUAAUGAACCGUGAGGCUUAACCUGACAACACCGAAGGUGUUUUAG